GAUGAACGCUGGCGGCGCGCCUAACACAUGCAAGUCGAACGAUUAAAGCACCUUCGGGUGUGUAUAAAGUGGCGAACGGCUGAGUAACACGUGGGCAACCUGCCCCUUUCAUUGGGAUAGCCACGGGAAACCGUGGAUAAUACCGAAUACUUCGAGACUUCCGCAUGGAAGACUCGAGAAAGCUCCGGCGGAGAGGGAUGGGCCCGCGGCCUGUUAGCUUGUUGGUGGGGUAACGGCCUACCAAGGCAAUGAUGGGUAGCUGGGUUGAGAGACCGACCAGCCAGAUUGGGACUGAGACACGGCCCAGACUCCUACGGGAGGCAGCAGUGGGGAAUCUUGCACAAUGGGCGAAAGCCUGAUGCAGCGACGCCGCGUGCGGGAUGAAGGCCUUCGGGUUGUAAACCGCUUUCAGCAGGGACGAGGCGAAAGUGACGGUACCUGCAGAAGAAGCCCCGGCUAACUACGUGC
rnacentral:rRNA from 1 species